UGGACCAGACCACCAUGAGACUCUGGACCAGACCACCAUGAGACUCUGGACCAGACCACCAUGAGACUCUGGACCAGACCACCGUGAGACUCUGGACCAGACCACCGUGAGACUCUGGACCAGACCACCAUGAGACUCUGGACCAGACCACCACGAGACUCUGGACCAGACCACCACGAGACUCUGGACCAGACCACCACGAGACUCUGGACCAGACCACCACGAGACUCUGGACCAGACCACCGCGAGACUCUGGACCAGACCACCGUGAGACUCUGAACCAGACCACCGCGAGACUCUGGACCAGACCACCACGAGACUCUGGACCAGACCACCGUGAGACUCUGAACCAGACCACCACGAGACUCUGGACCAGACCACCACGAGACUCUGGACCAGACCACCGUGAGACUCUGAACCAGACCACCACGAGCAGACAGCUGGACUUCAUGUGCUCUCGGUUCAGUGACCCGGUCCAGUCAGGAUCCUAUGGAGCACAGCUCAUGGGCCGUGACACCAGGACCGACUUCAGCAUCUCAAAGAGAAUGGACCAAAUGUCAACUGGAAGUUUUUAUAUUAAUACAGUUUGAAAAGGAUUGUUUUCCUAGUAUAUUCACAAAAGCUCAGGAGGAGACGUAUGAACCUGUGACACACACAUCCAUCACAUAGAGACAUCAGAACACACACACACACACACACACACAUUCUAUUAUGUAAAUGAAUUUGCAUUUUAAAAGCAGCUGGAAAUGUUAUUUAUGUUAUUUUAUAGAUUGUUUUUGUUCAAAAGGAACUAUGUUGCACGUAUCUUUAAAAUAUAUUUACUUAAUUUUAUAGAUAUUUGUUCAUGGGACUUAAAUGUUCUGAAAAUGUAUUAAUAAAUAUAAUUUACAACAGCAA